UACGAACUGUGCGAACGUUAUUCGGAAUCACUGGGCUUACAGGGUGCGUAGGCGGCUUAGCAAGUCAGGUGUGAAAGCCCCCGGCUCAACCGGGGAACUGCGCUUGAAACUGCUGAGCUCGAGUCAGCUAGAGGUACACGGAACUUCCAGUGGAGCGGUGAAAUGUGUUGAUAUUGGAAGGAACACCGGAGGCGAAAGCGGUGUACUGGGGCUGGUCUGACGCUGAGGCACGAAAGCCAUGGGAGCGAACGGG
rnacentral:rRNA from 1 species